AGCAAUCCCAGCCCAGCACGGCUGCCUUCCACAAGUCCUUUAAUGGUUGUGCCGGGCACGGAGCUGCGCCAGGUGAGCAGAGGGGCCAUGGGCUGCAUCCUGCUGCCAGGCCGGCCCACGGCACGCUGAGAUGGGGACAGAGGGGUGCGGGGUGAGCGCAGCUGCGUCCCUCCCUGGGGCUCGGGAUGCAGUGACCCCCAAGUGGUUCCCAGUGGGGAUGGAGAGCAGUGGGGAUGGGCGCAUCCCUGGUGCGUGGCACAGGGACGGAGGGCAGUGGCACAGCAGCAGCAAUGGCACAACGGCAGCAGCAAUGGCACAACGGCAGCAGCAAUGGCACAACGGCAGCAGCUCCCGCAGCCGCACGGCCUCGCGGGGAGGCAGCCGUGGCAACUUCAGCGCAUCUGCGCCGUGGGGACGGACCAACACCACACAGAGCUGCGCCGAUGCUUCGUGCUAAUGAUGGCAGAACACGGCCACGCUCCGGGCUGCCACCACGCCAGCACAACGGGUGGCACGGCAGGUUGGUUGCCACCGAGCUGUGCCGGUGGCCACGUGCCCCGGGACGAGCUCAGAUGGCCACGCAGCACGGGCGCUUCUCUGCCUGCGCUGCGGCCGCGCUGUCCGGGCUCUCGCUGCCGAGUGACACCGUGCUGCUUUGGCUGCUCCUCUGCUUCUGCUUCUGCACUUUGCUGAAGAUCUCUGCGGAAACAAAAAGCGGCGCCGGGGCUGUGUCCGCGUGGAACACCCGCACGGCUCCGUGCUCAGCUCGGCGCAGCGCUGGGGGUCCCCUUCCCCUCGUGCCAGCCGCUGUGCGGGGGGAAGCGGUUCUCCCUCAGCCAAGGCGGGGGGACAGGGAGCACUCUGCAACUUCCCCUGCUUCCCUCAGCUUCCCUCUGGCCCAGCAGGGAUCAGGGCUGGCAGCUCGUGGGGCUGGUACAGCGCGGCACAGCUUGGCACAGCUCAGCAUGGCACGGCACAGCACAGCACAGCAUGGCACAGCUCAACAUGGCAUGGCACAGCUCAGCACAGCACAGCAUGGCACAGCUCAGCAUGGCAUGG
rnacentral:lncRNA from 1 species